UCUAAACCCUUCCCACCUGCUAAUUGCUUUCCUUCGUCCUCUACCUCCUCCUGUUUUCUUUGUCCUUCAAUGUCUAUAUCACUAUUCUAUCCCGCCCUGAGUGCCUGAGGUGCGUGGAAGCUUCCCAGCCAGCCCGGCUUGGCCAGCCGGAACAGAGGGCCCAGAACAGGCCAGGGUUCAAGCCGCAAGCCAGUCGCCUGUCUCGGUGACACGCAGAGCUUCCAAUGUCUCAGCUGCAGCUCAUGCAGGAGAGCCCCGGCCCAGGGCCGGUCUGGGGCCAGAACGCAACCUGGGUAUCCGAAAGGCUCUCUCUGCAGGUUCUAGGAAUUGGAUCAGAAAUGAGAGGAUUGAAUAUGUUGGAGGCAAUAUGGAAGACUCAGAGACGUUUACAUUCUUGAUGAAGUCAGAGGGUAUUGUCCAGUUCUCCCUAAAGACCAAAAACAGUAGCAAAGUCCUGGAAAAAACAGACCCAUACAGAAAGGCCUAGUGUGCCCCAAAGACUAGUGGGGAAAAAAGAAGCCCCCAACCUGUGCUGAGUGUGACAAGAGCUUCAAAAGCAACACAGCCAUGACCAUCCAUGAGCACAGC